UGUUUGAGUUAGUGCUGGGUCGGCGUCCUGAUCCGCUUCCACUUCUGCCGGAAGCUGCUGGAAAAAUAGACGGGGCAGGAAUGUCUCAGAGUAUUUCACUUGCCAGCAGGGAAACAAACAGCAUUCAGCUUUUUCCUGACUUGUGUCGGCGCGGCGGCCGGUGACGCACGCGUGUGUAUUCUGGACCAGCUCCCUGCCCGCUGCAGUCCAGUCCAGUCCAGUCGGCCACACAAAGGAGCGGCGUGACCAAGAUCAACAAACGCAGCUCAAGACGAUCGAGCGAGUGUGUCUGGAGGCCAGUGUCUCAGGGAAGUCGACGGCAGCUGUAUGGACGACACAAGCUCAGCUGAUCUCCGGGACAACUUGCCAUCUCAGAUUGCGAGUGGUCUCGUAUCAGUGUUUGCGUCCAGACCCGGCCUGCUGACUGCCAAGGGCGAACAUGGAGUACUGUGACGCAGACAGAGCAGAGACAGGGCGAUAUCACGAGUGUCAGCACAUUUGUAUUUCUGAAUAAUCAUAUAUUGUGUCCUUCUGAGUGAUGUAACCAGGGACCUCCCAAAUAAAUAGAGGAGCACGUGGGACUGCACCUCAGAGCAUAGGUUGGAACUGUAACUGAGUGUACAGCCCCAUACGUCUCUCCUCAUGAGUAAAAUGUAA